GACUUGACUUGACUUGUGUAAACACACUUGGCAAUAAAGCCCUUUCUGACUUCUAAUGUUUUGAACCAGACACUUUCACAAGAAAGUCAUUUAAUCUCCCAGUCUGUAAAUCAAACAUCCAUACACCUAUAUGAUAACUCUAUUUCAUGCUUCCAUUUUAAAAACAUUAAUAUUAAAUCUCUUUGUUGAAUUGAUUUUGAAGGACACAUUGGAUUAAGAAAUCAGGGGGCCACAUGCUAUCUGAACUCAGUGCUGCAGACACUUUUCAUGACAGAAGAUUUCAGAAAUGCUGUGGAAAGGUUGUUCAAACCAAUUGAUGUUCACAUUGCACAAUUAUUUAUUGAUUUAAAAUCUCGAAAGGGAAGAGUUGCCACCACUGAGAGAAUCACAUCUGAACUCAAAAUUAAUGUUCAUGAGCAGCAGGAUGCAGCAGAAUACUUCCAGAAUAUAAUGAACAUAGUGAAGCCAGAGAUGUCUAAGGUAUACCAGGGAGAGUUGGAGCACAGAACCAUGUGUAAAAAUCCAGGAAAGGAGCACCCACUUGUAACACGUCAUGAAUCCUUUUACAUUAUUCCCAUCUGUAUGGAAACGUAUGACAUGGACUCUCCCAUAAACAUGCAAAGCUAUUUUGAUUCAUAUUUUGAGCCAAUCAAGACAUGUGAAGAUGACAGAGUGAAAUGUCCAACUUGCGAAGAGCUGGUAAACACGGAAAUAACAUGUAAUAUACAUAAACUUCCUCCAGUUCUGGUUGUGCAGCUGGAGAGAUUUCAACUGGAUUAUUACAAUAAUUACAAGAAGAACACAUCUGAAGUGGAAAUUCAGUUCCAGUUAUCAGUUAAAGAUGACAGUGGAGUUCAACACAAGUAUGAUUUGUAUGCUGUAGUGAAACAUACGGGAUCCUUUCACAGUGGACAUUACUAUGCAGUCAUCAAGUCAUUUGAGGAUCAUCAGUGGUAUGUGUUCAAUGACAGCUCCGUGUCCAAGGUGAA
rnacentral:lncRNA from 1 species